CAGCAGCCACGGGAAAACAGAGGGUGCGAGCGUUAAUCGGAUUUACUGGACGUAAAGCGCACGUAGGCGGAUCGAUCAGUCAGGGGUGAAAUCCCAGAGCUCAACUCUGGAACUGCCUUUGACACUGUCGAUCUGGAGUAUGGAAGAGGUGAGUGGAAUUCCGAGUGUAGAGGUGAAAUUCGUAGAUAUUCGGAAGAACACCAGUGGCGAAGGCGGCUCACUGGCUCAUACUGGACGCUGAGGUGCGAAAGCGUGGGGAGCAAACAGGAUUAGAUACCCGGGUAGUCCCUGUCUCUUAUAC
rnacentral:rRNA from 1 species